rnacentral:rRNA from 1 species
UCCGACCUCAGAUCGGACGAGAUUACCCGCUGAAUUUAAGCAUAUAACUAAGCGGAGGAAAAGAAACUAACAAGGAUUUCCCCAGUAACAGCGAGUGAAGCGGGAAGAGCCCCCCACCGAAUCCCUCAGUGUCACGCUGACGACGAACUGUGGUGUGUGGGGCCACGCCACCAAACUGCAGCAAUGACCGACUGACUCAAUUUGAUUGACCCUCCACCCGCUGAUCGAGACCCGCACAAUGCAGGCAAGUAAGCGAUUGCUCUAGACUAUCCGACGCUCAGACGUGGCGUGGCCACGCAAUGGACACGAGGCCGCCAUAUGCGUUCAAGAUGUCAAUGUUUACUGU